AUCUUACGUUAAAACCUCGUCUCUCCGAGUAACCUAAUUGUAUCUUAAAUAAGGCUUGGUUAAUGGAAUCAAUGGCACAAUUAAGAACUUGAGAGGGAUGUGAGAAUUUCCAAUGUGAGCAUAGAGAUCGUAAGGAUCCAGAUUUUUAUAAAACCCAAAUCUUAUCCCUUAUGCAAAAUGAUCAGCCUUUUUUCCUAUUUGUGCAUACUUUAUUAGAAUUAUCUCGACUUUUUGGUGCUGGGUUUCUGAUGAGGAUCCCACUCUCCACUUAAUUACCUGCUUACUCUCAUCCCACCACUUAAAACCGGACCUAUUCUUCCUCUCUCUCUCUCUCUCUCUCCAAUCAUAUAUAAAUAAGACCACACUAGUACUCUCUCUCUCUUAUUCCUUAUCUUGUUAUUUUCUCUCAUCAGAAAACUUAUACCUGCGAUUUGGUUAAAUGGGAUGCGAGAACUUGUAACUAGUUAGCCAGCUUUCUACAGACAUGAGAAGAAGACUUUAUCCUUGCCCUGCAAGCAGAUUUUGCAGAAUUUGGACCAAAAAAGGCUCUGCAGGGUGCGCCUUCCUCUAGCUUGGUUAGAAAUGCUCCUUCUCAAGGUUAGUUUUUUUCAACUCUUUCCUGUAAACUAAAACAAGAGUGAAUUUUCCAUGCACAAUUAGAAGCGCACCUAAACCACUACACGGUGGUCUAGUGGUCCACACGGUGAAUCACACGAUGAUGGCUAGAGAUAGGUUGAAAUGCUUCUAUGUUCUUUUUUUUUUAAAUAAAUAAAUAAAAAUAAAAUAAAUUGAAGCCCACGUAUCUAAUGAGACCCUUUGCAUUCUUGGGCACCUUUGAUCUCCAACUCCAAGCAUAAAAUGGUCGUCAAUUAAUCAUCCACCGGCAUUUUAUUGGCUCCAGAAUUGACAAAUGACAUGGGUGGGGACUGAGUUGGGAUUUGCUAGGCUAUCUUAUGGACAGGAGUUCUAUAUUCAUAGUCCAUUUAUUGCUUCUAUAGCUCACAUCACAUGUGUGUAUUGUUGAGAUAUAAAUCUUUAGGGUAAUUCUCACUUUUCUAUCCUGAAGUAUAGUGAUUUUCAUACCUUCAUACAUAAGUUUUUUUUUAACUCAGUAUCAUAUCUAAAGUUACGUUUUUUGGUAAUUAUCACCACCAACUAUAGGACAUAUAGUUGGUGGUGUUGAAACCUUUGCGACUAAGGUACCAAGACCCACCAUGUUUUGUGUGACCAUUCCGGUCACUGCAACACUUUUCUUCUUUGGUAGGGAUAAAUCGAAGCAAUGCAGAACUGAAUCUCAAUGAAUCAUGAUAGCAAAGAUAGGAAGAUCCAUUGGUGUUGGUUCAAAUAGGAAUAAAAUAGGAAGAUUCAUGUCCUUGAACUCAAAAAACUCUUGUAUCUUGAUAGGUAAAAGUGGAAAACCAAACUUGCACAUAUAGAUCCAAAAGCAUACAAAUCUAUAUCUAGAAAGAAACCCAAUCGUAGAGGCACCAGAUAAUAAGAGAACAAAAUGCAUUUAUCAACUGGAAAGAAACAAAACUCUUCAAAUCGUAACAGGAAUACAAGUCAAGUAACUUGUAAUCCAAAACUACACAGAGCAAGAUGGCCGAGUUUACAAUCUGAGAGAGAGAGAGAGAGAGA